rnacentral:misc_RNA from 1 species
UCCGAGUUGACCCCGGCAGUCUCCUGCGAGUCCCCGCCAUUACGCGCUGGCAACACAGGACAAGGGUUGCGCUCGUUGCGGGACUUAACCCAACAUCUCGCGACACGAGCUGACGACAGCCAUGCAGCACCUCGCUACCUGCCCGAAGGAAACCCCCUUUCAGGGGCUGUCAGGUAGCGUUCGAGCCUGGGUAAGGUUCUUCGCGUUGCAUCGAAUUAAGCCACAUGCUCCACCGCUUGUGCGGGCCCCCGUCAAUUCCUUUGAGUUUCACCCUUGCGAGCGUACUCCCCAGGUGGGAUGCUUAACGCGUUAGCCUAUCGAGA